GACGAACGCUGGCGGCGUGCCUAACACAUGCAAGUCGAGCGAAGAACUUCGGUUCUUAGCGGCGGACGGGUGAGUAACACGUGGGUAACCUGCCUCAAAGAGGGGGAUAGCCUCCCGAAAGGGAGAUUAAUACCGCAUAAUAUUAGAUCUUCACAUGGAGAUUUAAUUAAAGGAGUAAUCCGCUUUGAGAUGGACCCGCGGCGCAUUAGCUAGUUGGUGAGGUAACGGCUCACCAAGGCGACGAUGCGUAGCCGACCUGAGAGGGUGAUCGGACACAUUGGAACUGAGACACGGUCCAGACUCCUACGGGAGGCAGCAGUGGGGAAUAUUGCACAAUGGGCGAAAGCCUGAUGCAGCAACGCCGCGUGAGUGAUGAAGGCCUUCGGGUUGUAAAACUCUGUCUUUGGGGACGAUAGUGACGGUACCCAAGGAGGAAGCCACGGCUAACUACGUGCCAGCCGCCGCAGUAACAC
rnacentral:rRNA from 1 species